CGGAUCAGGCACUGCUGUGGCUGUGGUGUAGGCUGGCGGCUACAGCCCCGAUUCAACCCCUAGCCUGGGAACUUCCAUAUGCCAAGAGCAUGGCCUGAAAAAAGGAAAAAAAAAAAAAAAAAGAUGAGAUGAGAAAAGAUGCAAGGUCAGGAGUCCUACGGUAUCCUGCAGACUCUGACUUUCCCUCUGCCCUCGAGGAUCUACUAAAUAUUCACCUCCACAGUUGUUUUCCGAGCUCAAGGGAUUCCCUCUUAAUCAAUAAACAUUUCACAACCACACAAACACCAUUAGCUGAAAAUAUUAUUUUGGCUUAGUACGUGUCCUUGUUACAUCGUGGUUUAUAUCUGGAAAGGCCUCCGUAUGAUCAUUAUACAUGGAAGCAGUGAUGUCUCGCUAAUGCAGCAUCACAGGGACGGCUCCUGUACGGGGGGGCUCCAGGCCAUAGCAGUGACCUUCCUGGAUAGAUGAAAAUGACCUCCCUAAAGACCAGCCCUUUGAAAAGUUUCACCAUUUUUCCUGGAACUCUUAGUUUUCAAAACCAUAACAAAAACUUCAAUAUUUAUGUAAUUAUCAAUGGAUUUUUUAAAUUCAUUGAAUUAAAAAACAUUAAUUUUAAAAAAUUGGAUUUUUUUUAAAUAAAAAUAUAGAGAUGCCUGCCUCUUUAUAAUGUGGAAAUCAAUUUAGCUUUUUCAUCGCCUUCCAGAGCAUCAUGAAGAGAAGGCAUAAUUGAACAUUGUAAUAAUUUGGUACUAGUUUUGCUUUACUCAGCAUUAGAUCACCAGAUGACACUUUGUGCCAUUAUUUCACCCAUUGGUCCCCCUUUUUUUUUUUUGGCUUUUUAGGGCCACACCUACAGCGUAUGGAGGUUCCCAGGCUAGGGGUCGAAUUGGAGCUACAGCUACCGACCUACACCACAGUCAUAGUAAUGCCAGAUCCAAGCCACAUCUGCAAACUACACCACAGCUCAUGGCAACGCCAGAUCCUUAACCCACUGACCAAAGCCAGGGAUCGAACUCGUAUCCUCAUGGAUCCUAGUCGAGUUCGUUAACCACUGAGCCACAAAGAGAACUCCCAUUGGUCCCUUCUAAUGCACAGCUUCCAAGCUGCUCCAGACCAGCACACCAGGAGAUCAAACUGAGGAGUCAGAAACGACCUUGUCCACUGCUGGUGCUGGUGGGAAGAUAAACUGGCACAGCUGCUCUGGGUGGUUCCCCCCAAAAUAAAAAUAGAAUUAUCAUAUGAUCCAGCAAUCCCACUUCUGGGUAUAUACCCAAAAGAAUUUAAAGCAUGGUCUCAAUGAGAUUUUGUGUGCUCCUGUUCACAGCAGCACAGUUCACCAUAGCCAAAAGGUGGGAACAGCUGGAGGGUCUGUCGACUCUUGGUGGGUAAACAAAGUCUGGUGUAUACCUACAGUGGAGUAGUAUUCAGCCUUAAAAAGGAAGUGUUGUCAGAGUUCCCGGUGUGGCUCAGCGGAAAUGAGGCUGACUGGUAUCCGUGAGGACACAGGUUCGAUCCCUGGCCUUGUUCAGCGAGUUAAGGAUCGGGCAUUGCCGUGAGCUGUGGUGUAGGUCCCAGAUGUGGCUCAGAUCCUGCGUUGCUGUGGCUGUGGCAGAGGCCAGCGGCCGAAGCUCCAAUUCGGCCCCUAGCCUGGGAUGCUCUAUAUGCCACUAGUGCAGCUUUAAAAAAAAGGAAGUAUUUUCCCCCAGAGUCCCCACGUUGUCCUGGACAGAGUGAGUUUCCUUCCUGAGGUCAUUUCCACCCAGGCCACGACCUGUACCCGUCAUGGCCCACCCCUCACCCCCGCCCUGCCAUCUCCCAGCUCCCAAGGAGGUCAAAAGAGGAGCGAAGGGAACGGAAGAGAUGGGGAAGGGAAAAGUGGCUCAGGGGACAGCCCCCCUCUGCGCCGGGCGGGACGACAGCUGGAUCCGUGGGCACGUGCACCUAUAUGCUAUGAUCCCAUUUUACAGAUGACGGAAAGGCGGCUUCCAGUUUCCAAAUGCCAAAAUGAGUGGAGUGUGAGAAACAAGAAAGUGUUGGGAGUUGGUUACUCCCAGAUUUCUAGAGAAGUGAACCUGUGUCCCAGUGCUGCAGAGACAUGGCAGAUCGUGCUGUGGCACGGCAGGAACUCCCAGGCCUAUUCUUUUUUUUUUUCUUUUUUUUUGUCUUUUGUCUUUUGUUGUGUUGUUGUUGUUGUUGCUAUUUCUUGGGCCGCUCCCGCGGCAUAUGGAGGUUCCCAGGCCAGCGGCUACAGCUCCAAUUUGACUCCUAGCCUGGAAACAUCCAUAUGCUAUGAGAGCGGCCCUAGAAAAGGCAAAAGGACAAAACAAAACAAAACAAAACAAAGCACAAGAGACAGUGGCUGGCUCCCUUACUAUGGCAAACUCAGAAUAAUGGCUUUUGCUUUUCGCAUUUAUUGAUUUUUUUUUCUUUUAAUGAGCACACCUGCAGCACAGGGAAGUUCCCAGGCCAUGGGUCGAGUCAACCUACGCCACAGCCACGGCAGCACUGGAUCCGAGCCACAUCCGCCACCUACAACACAGCUGGUGGCAACGCCCAGAUACUUAACCUACCUAGAAAGGCCAGGGGUCGAACCCACAUCCUCAUGGACACUAUGUCAGGUUCUUAACCACUGAGCCGCAACAGAAACUCCCGGCUUUUCUCAUUUUAUUGGUCUUCCUUUGUUUCCACAGAUGUUUACUAUAUAAUUAAAAAAUGCUAUUCAACCUUUUGCAACACUUAAUAACUCCCCAGACAUAACUGUUACAACCCUGGCUUACUAGCAAGACCACCGGCCUCGCCCGUCACCUCUCCCACUGGUUGUCAUGACAUUAACCAGCCAUCUGGCAAGUGACAGGAUCACCACGUGCCAUAUAGUUCUUUCAUUAUUAUAGCACUGAAAUUUUUAACAGUGGGCAAUCAUUUGAAAAAUUCUUUUAGAACAAUUCUUUUGCCACUUAGACUCUUCUAUGGUACUUACUUCAGAAACUGAGGAAGAGCAAGUAUUAAUUUGUUCUUAUGUUCGUGGAAGGUUGAGUGGCCGUCAUUGAUGACCUCCAAACAAUAGCAACGUUUGUACAUCCUACUUGAGAAUGUACAUGACUCCGAGCUCGCACCGCUCACUGCACGACAGACCAAUAAGCCAAGAGAUGACAUGUUGGGGCGAGGAAUAGUGACUUUAUUCAGAAAGCCAGCAGACCAAAAAGACGGUGGACUCGUGUCCCAAAGAACCAGCUUGCCUGAGUUAGCAUUCAGCCUUCUUUUAUACUAAAAGGGGAGGGCGCAACGUCAGCCACUUCCUGGUUCCCAUCGACCUCUGGAAGGGAUGUGUUAAUGUCUUCCUUCCCGCAGCCACUCACAGGUGGACCUGGUCAGGAUGUUUCCUGGGAGCUGAACAAGGGUAUUUUAGCUUCAUGCUCAUUACUUUGGGAGGCAGGGUUCCCAGAGAUGGGCCAUGAUUAUAAUUUAAGCUUACGGGCAACAGCCCUUUAGUGAUUAACUUGUAAUAGAACACAAAGCUUCUUGCCUCUUACACAGGUUAGGAACUCUUUCCGUUUGCCUGGAUCUGAAUAACCACCAGCUGCACGUCGGAGGUAAGAAAGUGUUUGAUAAAGCUGGGUCUAUGAUCGUGCUGAAUCGUCAUAAAGGAAAAUAUUUUUUAAAAUAGGCGCCACACUUUUCUCCUUGUACCUCCACAUAUAUGACUUCUCCCAGUUCUGUUAGCAGUAUCCAUUUGUCUCAGGCAGGGUGGUGCUUCUUAAGGAAGGAAGGUAAAGAGAAAAUGUUAUGUUUUUGCAGUCUAGCCAUUGCUUUUGAGAAAUUUGGAGGGGGGAUCUUUUUAGGGCCAUACCCUCAGCGUAUGGAGGUUCUCAGGCUAGGGGUCAAAUCAGAGCUGUAGCCGCUGGCCUACACCACAGCCAUAGCAACACAGGAUCCUUAACCCACUAAGCGAGGCCAGGGAUUGAAACUUCGUCCUCAUGGAUGCUAGUCAGAUUCAUUUCUGCUGAGCGGGAACUCCGCUUUUGAGAAUUUUUAAGAUCACAGACUUGCAAAGAGACAGAUGCUUUAUAUUUCCAGGGGCAAAUCGGGCUGGCUUGUGGAUUAUUACAAGAACAUAAUUUUUAACCCUGAUGAUCAUUUGAAAAAUGUAAGAGGAGUUCCCGUCGUGGCUCAGUGGUUAAUAAAUCCGACUGGGAACCAUGAGGUUGCGGGUUUGAUCCCUGGCCUCGCUCAGUGGGUUGGGGAUCCAGCGUUGCCGUGAGCUGUGGUGUGUAGGUCGCAGACGCGGCUCGGAUCCCGCGUUGCUGUGGCUCUGGCGUAAGGCCAGCGGCUACAGCUCCGAUUCCACCCCUAGCCUGGGAACCUCAACACUGAAUGUGUUAGUUAUGUUAUUUUAAGGAAGUAAAGCAAACAUAUCUUUCAGAAACGUGAUUGAUUCUCACAUAGGGCUCAUUUUGAAUCCCUGCGUUAAGGCUCAUCAGCCCAGGUGAUAGGCUGUCAUUUCUGGUUCUUUAUCAAUUUGGCUCCCUCUAGUGGUCAGUGUGUGAAUUUACUAAAAUUCUCCAGUAGGUUCUCAUUCUUUAAAACGUCCUUUAAAAAACAAAGCAGCGUCAUUUCUUUUGUUUAGGGGGAACUGAUUGACUGAAAUUAAGAGAAUAUGUAUAUUUUUAGCAAAUAUGAUAAUCAUUUUUUGAAGAAUUACUAAGAUUUUAUAUAGGGUUGACAGAUUUAGCCAAUAAAAAAUACAAGGUACUCAGUACAAUUUAAAUUUCAGAUUAAGAAAAUUUUUUAAUAAUAAAUAUGCUCCAAAUAC
rnacentral:lncRNA from 1 species